rnacentral:rRNA from 1 species
GGCUUGUAAGUCACGUGGUGAAAUGCGUGUUGGCUUUAACCAUAGAAUUGCCAAUUGAAACUGCAAGUCUUGAGUACAGUUGAGGUGGGCGGAAUGAGUAAUGUACCGGUGAAAUGCAUAGAUAUUACUCAGAACUCCGAUUGCGUAGGCAGCUUGCUAAACUGUAACUGACGCUGAUGCACGAAAGCGUGGGGAGCGAACAGGAUUAGAUACCCUGGUAGUCCACGCUGUAAACGAUGAGCACUGGUUGUUGGCAAUACACCGUCAGCGACUGAGCGAAAGUAUUAAGUGCUCCACCUGGGGAGUACGUCGGCAACGAUGAAACUCAAAGGAAUUGACGGGGGCCCGCACAAGCGGAGGAGCAUGUGGUUUAAUUCGAUGAUACGCGAGGAACCUUACCUGGGCUUAAAUGUAGAGUGCAUUGCUUGGAAACAGGCAUUUUCUUCGGAACUCUUUACAAGGUGCUGCAUGGUUGUCGUCAGCUCGUGCCGUGAGGUGUCGGGUUAAGUCCCAUAACGAGCGCAACCCCUAUUGUUAGUUACCAGCACGUAAUGGUGGGGACUCUAGCAAGACUGCCGGUGUAAACCGUGAGGAAGGUGGGGAUGACGUCAAAUCAGCACGGCCCUUAUGUCCAGGGCUACACACGUGUUACAAUGGCAAGUACAAAGAGCAGCCACCUGGCGACAGGGCGCUAAUCUCAAAAGCUUGCCUCAGUUCGGAUCGAAGUCUGCAACUCGACUUCGUGAAGGUGGAUUCGCUAGUAAUCGCGCAUCAGCCAUGGCGCGGUGAAUACGUUCCCGGGCAUUGUACACACCGCCCGUCAA